UGCUUUUGUGUGCUGGAGGAGAGGCUGCUGAUUGGUGCCAAGACCCACUUCUGAUUGAGAGGGAUAAAAGUUGGGCUGAAUUUUCUCUAGUCAAGACUCCUUCUAGACUUUGAGCUUCUUGAACAUAGAGACUGGGUUACAUUCAUCAUUGUAAAUCUGGGGUCCACCUCAAUGACGAGCACAUGAGACGCAUUGGAUAAAUACUUCCUGAAGGACAACAUUUUCCUUGCUUAACCUGGACAACGAUCUGGUUGGCUGAUAUGCAAAAACUCUUGUUCAGACGUCCACCCUGGCAUCGAUGUCUCAAGAAGAGAAGAGUUCAAAUUGCUGUUGAUGGUGUUGUUACUGAAUGUAUAAAUAAACCACGAAAAUAACAGAGGACUAGGAAGGGAAGAGCUGUUUUGUUUGACCUUGUUAAAACUGUUGUGCUGUGGGACUUGACUGCUACAAUUAAAAUGAGUUUUGUUGGUUUUCCUA